rnacentral:rRNA from 1 species
AGUGAACGCUGGCGGUAGGCCUAACACAUGCAAGUCGAACGGCAGCACAGUAAGAGCUUGCUCUUACGGGUGGCGAGUGGCGGACGGGUGAGGAAUACAUCGGAAUCUACUUUUUCGUGGGGGAUAACGUAGGGAAACUUACGCUAAUACCUCAUACGACCUACGGGUGAAAGCAGGGGUUCUUCGGACCUUGCGCGAUUGAAUGAGCCGAUGUCGGAUUAGCUAGUUGGGGGGGUAAAGGCCCACCAAGGCGACGAUACGUAGCUGGUCUGAGAGGAUGAUCGGCCACACUGGAACUGAGACACGGUCCAGACUCCUACGGGAGGCAGCAGUGGGGAAUAUUGGACAAUGGGCGCAAGCCUGAUCCAGCCAUGCCGCGUGAGUGAAGAAGGUCUUCGGAUUGUAAAGCCCUUUUGUUGGGGAAGAAAAGCAGCAGGUUAAUACACCGCUGUUUUGACGGUACCCAAAGAAUAAGCACCGGCUAACUUCGUG